AAAUAUCUUCAGGGCGGGGUGUAAUUCCCCACCGGCGGUAUAGCCCGCGAGCCGCAAGGCAUGAUUCGGUGUAACUCCGAAGCCGACAGUAAAGUCUGGAUGAAAGAAGGUAUAA
rnacentral:ncRNA from 2 species